rnacentral:rRNA from 1 species
GAUGAACGCUAGCUACAGGCUUAACACAUGCAAGUCGAGGGACCGGCGCACGGGUGAGUAACACGUAUCCAACCUGCCCUUUACUCGGGGAUAGCCUUUCGAAAGAAAGAUUAAUACCCGAUAUAAAGGAUGGGGAUGCGUUCCAUUAGGUUGUUGGUGAGGUAACGGCCCACCAAGCCUUCGAUGGAUAGGGGUUCUGAGAGGAAGGUCCCUCACACUGGAACUGGGACACGGUCCAGACGCCUGCGGGAAGCAGGAGUGAGGAAUAAUGGUCAAUGGGCGCUAGCCUGAAACAGCCAAGUAGCGUGAAGGAUGAAUGCUUAUGGUCGUAAUCUUCUUUUAUAUAAGAAUAUGUAUUAUAUGAAUAAGGAUCGGCUAACUCCGUGCCAGCAGCCGCGGUAAUAC